rnacentral:rRNA from 1 species
UACGUAGGGGGCAAGCGUUGUCCGGAUUUAUUGGGCGUAAAGAGCUCGUAGGUGGUUCGGUAAGUCGGAUGUGAAAUCUCCAGGCUCAACCUGGAGGGGUCAUUCGAUACUGCCGUGACUAGAGGUCGGUAGGGGAGUGUGGAAUCCUGGUGGAGCGGUGAAAUGCGCAGAUAUCAGGAGGAACACCAGUGGCGAAGGCGGUGCUCUGGGCCGAUACUGACGUGAGGAGCGAAAGCGUGGGGAGCGAACAGG